AUAGAAAAUCAUAAGAAGAAAGCAAAAACACUCAUAAUCCCACAACCUAGAAAUAACAGCUAUCAAUACUCUUCUCUUAUUUUCCAAUAGUUUAUUCUAUGUAUUAGCUGUGUUGAGAAUAGAAAAAAAACAAAGGUGAAAGUAAUGGGCUACAAGGUUGACAAUUGCUAUUUUUGAGUUGUGGCUUGUGGAGGAUUUAUAUGACACAGUUACUACUAUGAAUACAAUUUUGCAUUCUGCUUUAACUUGCUAUUAUGACAUGUCUAGGCUGUUUUAUUAAUUUUUCUUUGCAAACUUUCUUCAUAAUGGCAGUGUAACAUUCCAGAAUGAGUGUUCUGUCAUUCAUUUAACCAACUACCGCUAGGGGUAUGCUGGGAGGACAUGCAGCAUGUCUGAUUUUGUUCACAUCUUGGUCCCCAGCGCCUGUCACAGGGCCUGGACCAUUGUAAGCACUCAGUAAUAUUUGCUGAAUGAAGGACUUGUUAGCCAUUUAGAUUAUACCUGGAUUUUUUGCUUUUUCGUAUGUAAAGUUUUACUAAAAAUCUUUGUUCACAGAUCUUUCUCAGGUCUCUGCUUUCCCCCUAUUCUGUGUCAGUUUCUUCUAGGUUCUGCUCUAGCAUCUCUGGUUUGGCAAAAAGCCAAUAUAUAUCAUCAGACCAAAAGGAUAAAUCUGCCAGAUGCUUGGGCUACAGGCUAAAUGAAGCCAGACCUGGACCUGUGAAAGGGGCCAAAGAGACUUAACGUAUUCUUCCACCACCCUGGAGCUUACUGAGAAAUUCUGUAGAAACCACAGUGCCACACAGAGCUACCUGCAUGACGAUGGCCAAGGGCAUGUGGGCAGCUUAGAUGGUACCAAGGGCAAAACAGGACAAGGCCUGGAAGAAUGAGGAAGAGGUGGUGACCAAGUGUCACUGGCCAACAAAGUCAUGAGAAGGCAUAAAGCAGGUAUAUUUAAAUCACUGACUCAAGAGAAAGAGAAUGCAAUUAACAGAAAAAAGUUUUAACAUUCUUCACUAUAAAGUUAGUAGGCGAUCAGAGUUGAUGUCAGUGAGAUAUUUUUAGGCAAGGGGCCCUCCCAGCACCCCUCACAUGAUGCAAGCUACUAUUUUGCCUCCUCAUGUGGCUAGUCCUGGCAAUAAUUAUUUAUUCCUGAGCUUUAACUUUAAUGGAAGUGACAAGGUCAAGAGUUAAAGGACAGAGAUUAACUGUUUACCUAUUAACCAGCCAAUUAAUUUGUUACUUUAAUUAUACAUUGUUAAUCUGUUUCCCUGCUAUGGAGAUACUUAAUUCUAUGGAAAGAAAAUGUAUAAAGUUAAAUAUUAAAGUAAUCCCUUUGCAUCUUGAGAUUUUAACACAACCAGUUGGCUGAGGAUAGUUCCCACAUCUGGUCCCACAAUCCUGGGCUUUCAGGCUAUGAUUUCAGCCCUUUCACUAUACCCUAAAAACCAUCCUCCCUCAAAUCUAUUCAACCUCACCAUCUGCAGUUCUGUACCUACACUAGAAAUCUCUCUACCUUUUAACUUUCUAGUUAUUUAAUUAGCUAGUUAAUUCUCAUACCUUGUACUUAUAUUAUUAGUUUCAGUAUUUUAUUUUUUAUUUUUU